rnacentral:tRNA from 2 species
UCCUCGAUAGCUCAAUGGUGGAGCGACCGGCUGUUAACCGGUAGGUUACAGGUUCGAGUCCUGUUCGAGGAG